rnacentral:rRNA from 1 species
AGUGAACGCUGGCGGCGUGCUUAAUACAUGCAAGUCGAACGGAGAUUAAGUAGCUUGCUAUUUAAUCUUAGUGGCGCACGGGUGAGUAAUAUAUAGCUAACUUGCCCAUUACUAAGGGACAACAGUUGGAAACGACUGCUAAUACCUUAUACUCCGUAUCUAUAUAAGUAGAUACGGGAAAGUUUUUCGGUAAUGGAUAGGGCUAUAUCGUAUCAGCUAGUUGGUAAGGUAAUGGCUUACCAAGGCUAUGACGCGUAACUGGUCUGAGAGGAUGAUCAGUCACACUGGAACUGAGACACGGUCCAGACUCCUACGGGAGGCAGCAGUAGGGAAUAUUGCUCAAUGGGGGAAACCCUGAAGCAGCAACGCCGCGUGGAGGAUGACACUUUUCGGAGCGUAAACUCCUUUUCUUGGGAAAGAAUUAUGACGGUACCCAAGGAAUAAGCACCGGCUAACUCCGUG